GGGAGCGAGGAGCGGGCAAGCAAUUGGGCAUAUCGAAAAUGGCGGUAUCGGGAGAUCUCAGGGUCUCUCCAACACUGGCCUCUUAUUGCAAACACCCUCUUCGAAGCUCUUUGCAUUCUUCAAAUUCAAAGGUAGAGUUCAUUGGUUUCCCUGGUAGAGGAUCUGGCACUUCCCAAAACACACCCAAGUGGCCUGGCAUCAUCUUGCUUGAUAAUUGUAAAAUGCAUGAUCACACUAUACGUUUUUCUGGUAUCACUAGAGAUUAUCAGCUGUCUCCACCUUCGAUUAGUGAAGAGGCUGAAAGCUUUCUCCUAAAUGCCAUAAACAUGAACUUCUUUGAGCGAUUGAACCUGGCAUGGAAGAUAAUAUUCCCAUCACCAGCACGAAGAAAGAGCUCAAAUGCAAGGAUUGCCAAACAACGGU
rnacentral:misc_RNA from 1 species